GUUUGAUCCUGGCUCAGAAUGAACGCUGGCGGCGUGGAUUAGGCAUGCAAGUCGAACGGACCCUGAUUCUUCGGAUGACUGGGUUAGUGGCGACCUGGUGAGUACAAGUUGGGUAAUUUGCCCGGAAGUGGGGGACAACUCCCCGAAAGGGGGGCUAAUACCGCAUGUGGUUGGAAGAGUUUCGGUUUUUCUAACUAAAGCAGCGAUGCGCUUCCGGAUGAGCCCGACUCCCAUUAGCUUGUUGGUGGGGUAAUAGCCUACCAAGGCGACGAUGGGUAGGUGGCCUGAGAGGGUGGUCACCCACACGAGGACUGAGAUACGGCCUCGACUCCUACGGGGGGCAGCAGUCUAGAGGCUUCGGCAAUGGGGGAAACCCUGACCGAGCGACGCCGCGUGGAGGAUGAAGGCCUUCGGGUUGUAAACUCCUUUCGGUAGGAAGGAAGGCCUGGAUGGUGAAUCCGGGAUUGACCUACCUGCAGAAGAAGCCCCGGCUAACUUCGUGCCAGCAGCCGCGGUAAUACGAAGGGGGCAAGCGUUAUUCGGAUUCAUUGGGCGUAAAGGGCGUGUAGGCGGCUGACCAAGUCUGGUGUGAAAACGCUACCGCUUAACGGAGCGAUUGCGCUGGAAACUGGUCAACUUGAGUUCGAGAGAGGCGGCAGAAUACCUGGUGUAGCGGUGGAAUGCUUAGAUAUCAGGUAGAAUACCAGAGGCGUAGGCGGCCUGCUGGCUCGAUACUGACGCUGAGACGCGAAAGCGUGGGGAUCAAACGGGAUUAGAUACCCCGGUAGUCCACGCUGUAAACGGUGAGUACUAGCUGUGGGAGGUACCCAUUCCUUCCGUGGCGCAGCAAACGCAAUAAGUACUCCGCCUGGGAAGUACGGCCGCAAGGUUGAAACUCAAAGGAAUUGACGGGGGCCCGCACAAGCGGUGGAGCAUGUGGUUUAAUUCGAUUCAACGCGAAGAACCUUACCUGGGCUUGAACCGAGGCUUACAUUAUCUGAAAGGAUAUGCCCUUCGGGGGUGCCUUAGAGGUGCUGCAUGGCUGUCGUCAGCUCGUGUCGUGAGAUGUUGGGUUAAGUCCCGCAACGAGCGCAACCCUGGUCGUUAGUUACCAGCGAGUAAUGUCGGGGACUCUAGCGAGACUGCCCGCGGUAAGCGGGAGGAAGGUGGGGAUGACGUCAAGUCAUCAUGGCCCUUACGUCCAGGGCUACACACGUGCUACAAUGGCCAGGACAAUGCGCUGCUACUUGGCGACAAGAUGCGAAUCGCGUAAACCUGGUCUCAGUUCAGAUUGGAGUCUGCAACUCGACUCCAUGAAGAUGGAAUCGCUAGUAAUCGCGGAUCAGCUACGCUGCGGUGAAUGAGUUCCCGGGCCUUGUACACACCGCCCGUCACGUCACGAAAGUCGGUUGUACCAGAAGUCGCUGGUGGAACCCUCGGGGCCAAGGCGCCGAAGGUAUGGCUGGUAAUUGGGACGAAGUCGUAACAAGGUA
rnacentral:rRNA from 1 species